rnacentral:rRNA from 1 species
UGGGGAAUAUUGGACAAUGGGCGAAAGCCUGAUCCAGCCAUGCCGCGUGUGUGAAGAAGGCCUUUUGGUUGUAAAGCACUUUAAGUGGGGAGGAAAAGCUUAUGGUUAAUACCCAUAAGCCCUGACGUUACCCACAGAAUAAGCACCGGCUAACUCUGUGCCAGCAGCCGCGGUAAUACAGAGGGUGCAAGCGUUAAUCGGAAUUACUGGGCGUAAAGCGCGCGUAGGUGGUUAUUUAAGUCAGAUGCGAAAGCCCCGGGCUUAACCUGGGAACUGCAUCUGAUACUGGAUAACUAGAGUAGGUGAGAGGGGAGUAGAAUUCCAGGUGUAGCGGUGAAAUGCGUAGAGAUCUGGAGGAAUACCGAUGGCGAAGGCAGCUCCCUGGCAUCAUACUGACACUGAGGUGCGAAAGCGUGGGUAGCAAACAGGAUUAGAUACCCUGGUAGUCCACGCCGUAAACGAUGUCUACCAGUCGUUGGGUCUUUUAAAGACUUAGUGACGCAGUUAACGCAAUAAGUAGACCGCCUGGGGAGUACGGCCGCAAGGUUA